rnacentral:rRNA from 1 species
AUACGUAGGGGGCAAGCGUUAUCCGGAUUUACUGGGUGUAAAGGGAGCGUAGACGGAAGGCCAAGUCUGAUGUGAAAGCCCGCGGCCCAACUGCGGGACUGCAUUGGAACCUGGUCAUAUGGAGUGCAGCAGGGGUAAGCGGAAUUCCCGGUGUAGCGGUGAAAUGCGUAGAGAUGGGGAGGAACACCAGGGGCGUAGGCGGGUAACUGGACUGCAACUGACGCUGAGGCGCGAAAGUGUGGGGAGCAAACAGGAUUAGAUACCCUGGUAGUCCACACUGUAAACGAUGAAUUCUAGGUGUAAGAGGUAUCGACCCCUUUUGUGCCGUAGUUAACACAAUAAGCAUUCCGCCUGGGGAGUACGGCCGCAAGGUUGAAACUCAAAGGAAUUGACGGGU